rnacentral:lncRNA from 1 species
GGUCAGGAGGAAGAGGAAGAAGUCUCAUAUGCCACGUUGCCACGAUUUCUACACGUAGACUGAAAUUUGGCACUGAGAACUGAUGUAAUUUGUUAAGGAAAGUAUUUACUCAUAAAGAAGUGAGAAGAUUAUUCCAGCCGUCCAAAGGUCUGAACGCGUUAUUCUGUCUUAAACAAAGCAAGACGACAAAGCAGUGCCUCGUAACAACCGUCUGCGAUGAGAUUGGACGCACUCCCAGAAAAGACAUCAGAUUCGUGUUCGCCAGCGCCCGCACCCAUGUCAACGUUGUCUUGCGUGUCGAAGUCUGCCGUAUAGUCAACUUGCAUGGUUGACAUUUGCUUUGGUUUGAAAUGUAAUGUUUGCUUUGGGUUGUAAUGACCGAGAUAUAAAUCUACAAUAAACGUAAUCCAAAUUAUGACACUUAAGAAUUAACGGCAGUAUAAAAUUGUAAAAUGUGCUCAAGUUAUUGCAGAAUUGCCCACAUGUAUUAAAACGGGUCUUUCUAAAAUUGUGAAUAUGCAGUUAUGACACAUGGUAAGAAUAAACUUCCUUGGGUUCCCGGUGUUUUGAUAUACUAGUACUAUGUCUGAUCAGUGAUGGACCCAUAGUUUUAUUGCUGGGAGGGGGUAGAAAUGUUUUUAUUUUCAGACAAUCAAACCAGGGGUUGGGGUAAUUUUUUUCGAAAAUAAUGUGCUUUUUUUAAUUAAAGAAGGAAAUUUGACUUUUUGCCUUCCUUACAAAGCGAAAAUGUUAAAUGUUCACAAAGGGAAACAGUAAAUUGCAAAAAGUGUUUACUUAUGGCAUCUUUUGUCAUUUUAAAUGUAUAUGUAGGAAUGGCAUUUAUCGCAUCCUUUUACACCUUGGAAUUUUGAAAAAUCCUUAUCAAAUUCGUUUAUCUCGGUACUUGGUACUUUUUUAAUUUUAGUUUUCGGCUGGGAUCAAGGGGUGAUGAGAACAAAAGGCCUGAUUAGGUGCCAGUCCUGCACGUGCUGUUGGGUUAUUUUACUGAGUGUUUCUUGACCACUGAACACCAGUGACUGUAGAGUUUAUUAGCAUUUUCUGAGUUAUUUUAAGUAAACUUGUUUUUGCAUAACCUUUUCAAAUUUGUUUACAUAUUGUUCUUAAAAUGACUAUGACUGGGAUAAGGUUGUAAACUGACCAUGUCUUCAUGCUGUUCUUGAUUCGCACGGCGCGUAAAUUUAUGUUCACUCAAAAUUGUAUCACCAAAAUCCUAUUUUAAAAUUUAAAGAGAAGAAAAAAUGACGCAAAAUAUGAGGUACAUAUUCAUUUAUCUAUAAGAAAAGCACUCAUCAUAUGAACAAAAUUGAAUAAUGUUUGACUGCUGUUUGGUGUAGUGUGUUAUCAUCAGCAUGGCGACCUAGAGUAAGUUGUAGGGCCAUGAGUGUGUACCCGCGUACAGGGUAACGUUUACAUGAGAUAGUAUGCAUUUUGAAUUUUCCAUACUGUUACCACCCCCUUGCUGAAAUUUUGGAUAAAAAUGUCCCUUGGUGAAAUUUUGGCUCACUCAUAAGACAAAUACUCCAAUGUCAACUUUGAACGAUUGCUGUAAAAUACUUCCCUGCGAAUCUACAACUUUCUCUUUUAACUUUGGGCAAAAAUAU